rnacentral:lncRNA from 1 species
GAAGGCAGCUGUCAACCUUGCAGGAAGCCCACUAUUAAAAGGAAACAGAAGUGUCAUUAGGAGCCCUGCUGUCACUGUGGAUUGAGCAGGCAUGCUGAGCCCUGAGGGCAGACUGGGGAGGGGGCUGGACCUCAUCCAUGGACUGAGAAAGCAGCAGCGGAGACCCUGACCAAGG